rnacentral:rRNA from 1 species
AUGAGCCCACACCCGAGUCCUAUCUCUCCAGGCAACGCCUCCAUGGAGGAGAUGACGCCCAUGGAUUUUGGGUUUUCACCCAGGAGAGGACCGGAGGUGGCAAGAAUAAGGACCACGACACCGCCUUCAGGAAGGAUGCGUCGCCCGAAGCCGACGCCGCUGUCGAGCCAAACCAGCCGGCCUAGGGUUUCCCCCGGUCCCAAUCUGCACCACCAUCCCCAGAAGCACCGGAACCAGCAACAUCCACCGGCCUCAAGCGCAAAGGGGAAGGAGCGGGAACGAGGGAGCAGCAGGCCUCCAGAUCUGGCGAGGACGAAGGCCCCCGAACUGCCGCCGCCAAGCGCCGACUCCCCACCACCCGAGCGGUCGAGGACGCCGGGCAGAGUCCCCGCGCACACCGUCCAGGGCGCGAACGGCGGCGCCGAACCAGCAGGGGCCGCCGCCCCGUGGAUCCGGAUCUCCGCGAAGGGACGACGAAGGCCCCGCCGCCACCUUCCUCGGUAG